CCGAUUCUUCCCUGCCGAUUCUUCCCUGUCUUCGAUGCACAACCUCUAGAGGCAAACCCUAGAGGUUAUCCACAACUGUGAUCCACAUAAUUGUCCAGUUCACCGCAUAAUCGUUGCCAUCCACAUGGAAAUCGACGCACACAUCAAAAACCCUAAAAGCUCCAACUUUCUUCUUUAAUCGCCUGACAAAGGAUUCCAAAAUCAAACCGAUUCACUUCCAGAGGAAGAUGGUGACGGUGGUGGUCACCUGAAGAGGGAAGAUGACAACGACAUGGGUUGAUUUAGGGUUUCUCCAUUGGUGGUCUUGUGAUGGUUGUGGUUCUAGGAAAUGGCGAAAGGGCGGCGGCUAGGGUUCCACCAACACAUAAAUCUGACCGAUUUUGGUUUCGGCAGGUACUGAUAAGUUGUUGAUCCGUUUUGUCCAAUUGAAAUUAGGGUUCUUAAUAAUGUU